UACGUAGGGGGCAAGCGUUGUCCGGAUUUACUGGGUGUAAAGGGAGCGUAGACGGCCAGACAAGUCUGAAGUGAAAAUCCAGCGCUUAACGUUGGAAGUGCUUUGGAAACUGCCGGGCUAGAGUGCAGGAGGGGCAGGCGGAAUUCCUAGUGUAGCGGUGAAAUGCGUAGAUAUUAGGAGGAACACCAGUGGCGAAGGCGGCCUGCUGGACUGCAACUGACGUUGAGGCUCGAAGGCGUGGGGAGCAAACAGG
rnacentral:rRNA from 1 species